UACGGAAGGCAGCAGUGGGGAAUAUUGCACAAUGGGCGAAAGCCUGAUGCAGCUAUGCCGCGUGUAUGAAGAAGGCCUUAGGGUUGUAAAGUACUUUCAUCGGGGAGGAAAAAACAAAACUAAUAAUUUUAUUUCUUGACGUUACCCGAAAAAGAAGCACCGGCUAACUCCGUGCCAGCAGCCGCGGUAAUACGGAGGGUGCUAGCGUUAAUCAGAAUUACUGGGCGUAAAGAGCACGUAGGUGGUUUUUUUAAGUCAGAUGUGAAAUCCCCUGGGGCUUAACCUGGAAACUGCAUUUUGAAACUGAAAUACUAGAGUAUCGUAGAGGGAGGUAGAAUUCUAGGUGUAGCGGUGAAAUGCGUAGAUAUCUGGAGGAAUACCUGUGGCGAAAGCGGCCUCCUAAACGAAUACUGACACUGAGGUGCGAAAGGCGUGGGGAGCAAACAGGGAUUUAGAUACC
rnacentral:rRNA from 1 species